CACCCGGUUUUUUUAAAAACCAGAAAUCGAAUCAUAACAAUUACCU
rfam:Sphingobacteriales bacterium 46-32 scnpilot_p_inoc_scaffold_248, whole genome shotgun sequence.